AGAGUUUGAUCAUGGCUCAGGAUGAACGCUGGCGGCGUGCCUAACACAUGCAAGUCGAGCGAAGCACUUUGCUUUGAAUCUUUCGGGAGGACGAGUGAUUUGACUGAGCGGCGGACGGGUGAGUAACGCGUGGGCAACCUGCCUCACACAGGGGGAUAACAGUUAGAAAUGACUGCUAAUACCGCAUAAGGCCACAGCACCGCAUGGUGCAGGGGUAAAAACUCCGGUGGUGUGAGAUGGACCCGCGUCUGAUUAGCUAGUUGGUAAGGUAACGGCUUACCAAGGCGACGAUCAGUAGCCGACCUGAGAGGGUGACCGGCCACAUUGGGACUGAGACACGGCCCAAACUCCUACGGGAGGCAGCAGUGGGGAAUAUUGCACAAUGGGGGAAACCCUGAUGCGGCGACGCCGCGUGAGUGAAGAAGUAUUUCGGUAUGUAAAGCUCUAUCAGCAGGGAAGAAGAAAGACGGUACCUGAGUAAGAAGCCCCGG
rnacentral:rRNA from 1 species